rnacentral:piRNA from 1 species
UUUGAUGACGUACUGAAUAAACAGUG